rnacentral:rRNA from 1 species
CCGUAAGGAUGCAUAGUACAUAGAGCUGAUCGUGGAUCGGGGUCGUAGCAGCUGGCUCAUAUGAAGUUAGCGGCGGACGGGUGAGUAACACGUGGGUAACCUGCCCAUAAGACUGGGAUAACUCCGGGAAACCGGGGCUAAUACCGGAUAACAUUUUGAACCGCAUGGUUCGAAAUUGAAAGGCGGCUUCGGCUGUCACUUAUGGAUGGACCCGCGUCGCAUUAGCUAGUUGGUGAGGUAACGGCUCACCAAGGCAACGAUGCGUAGCCAACCUGAGAGGGUGAUCGGCCACACUGGGACUGAGACACGGCCCAAACUCCUACGGGAGGCAGCAGUAGGGAAUCUUCCGCAAUGGACGAAAGUCUGACGGAGCAACGCCGCGUGAGUGAUGAAGGCUUUCGGGUCGUAAAACUCUGUUGUUAGGGAAGAACAAGUGCUAGUUGAAUAAGCUGGCACCUUGACGGUACCUAACCAGAAAGCCACGGCUAACUACGUGCCAGCAGCCGCGGUAAUACGUAGGUGGCAAGCGUUAUCCGGAAUUAUUGGGCGUAGAGCGCGCGCAGGUGGUUUCUUAAGUCUGAUGUGAAAGCCCACGGCUCAACCGUGGAGGGUCAUUGGAAACUGGGAGACUUGAGUGCAGAAGAGGAGAGUGGAAUUCCAUGUGUAGCGGUGAAAUGCGUAGAGAUAUGGAGGAACACCAGUGGCGAAGGCGACUUUCUGGUCUGUAACUGACACUGAGGCGCGAAAAGCGUGGGGAGCAACACAGGAUUAGAUACCCUGGUAGUCCACGCCGUAAACGAUGAGUGCUAAGUGUUAGAGGGUUUCCGCCCCUUUAGUGCUGAAGUUUAACGCAUUAAGCACUCCGCCCUGGGGAGUACGGCCCGCAAGGGCUGAAAACUCAAAGGAAUUUGACGGGGGCCCCGCACAAAGCGGUGGAAGCAUGGUGGUUUUAAUUUCAGAACCAACCGCGAAAAAACCUUUACCAAGGUCUUGGACAUCCUUCUGAACAACCCCUAGAAAAAUAGGGCUUUUCCCCUUUCGGAAACCAAAAAUGAAAAAGGGGGGGGGCCCCAGG